GAUGAAGAACGUAGCGAAAUGCGAUAAGUAAUGUGAAUUGCAGAAUUCAGUGAAUCAUCGAAUCUUUGAACGCACAUUGCGCCCCCUGGUAUUCCGGGGGGCAUGCCUGUCCGAGCGUCAUUACAACCCUCAAGCUCAGCUUGGUGUUGGGCCCCGCCGCCCCGGCGGACCCUAAAGUCAGUGGCGGUGCCGUCCGGCUCCGAGCGUAGUAAUUCUUCUCGCUCUGGAGGUCCGGUCGUGUGCUCGCCAGCAACCCCCAAUUUUUUUCAGGUUGACCUCGGAUCAGGUAGGGAUACCCGCUGAACUUAAGCAUAUCAAUAAGCGGGGGA
rnacentral:misc_RNA from 1 species